rnacentral:rRNA from 1 species
AUUUGUACUGAUCUUGACUGGGUUGUGGUGAAACCACAGCCGGUCAGACCCACAGAGCCAGUAAGAGAGGCCACUGAUGAUGAUGCUGCAUGGGCUAAAAAGAAGGGGGACUAUGCUCCUUUGGAGCAGUCCUACCUCAUAGAUAACCAAAAGUGGGUCAAUGCAAACAAAAAGUGCAUGGCUUUUAUAAAGAAUACAAUUGAGAGCGCCAUUGUGGGCUCCAUUCCAGAGUGCACUUUCGCAUGGGAGUUGCUUACAAAGAUAAAGAGCCAGUUCACUGGCUCUUCAAAGAUCUAUGCCACCCAGGUGUUAGAGCAACUGGUGACAGAACGCUACACAGGUGGUAGUCGUGGAAUAAGAGAGCACAUCCUCAGGAUGAGUAAUAUGGCAGCAAAGCUCAAGCCCAUGGAUGCGGAUCUGGAGAUCAAACCAGCGCUCCUGGUCCACCUGGUCAUGGCUUCACUGCCACAGGAGUUUGCAACUUUUGUUGUAAACUAUAAUAUGUCACCUGGAACAUGGGACAUUGAAAAGACAAUAGCAAUGUGUGUCCAAGAAGAGGACAGACUCAAAGCCGCACAUGGUGGUUCAAUCAACUAUGUGAAGGAUUGGAAGAAAAAGAACUACAAUCAAAACAACAAAAGUUCUCCUUCAAAGAAUGGAAAAGCCCCCUAUCAGCAUCAGCAUCAGCAACAACCUUUCUCAGUGGACAAAGACACGUGUCUCCACUGCAAGCAGAAAGGGCAUUACAAGAAAGACUGCGCUGCUUGGCUGAAGUCAGUCAUGGCAAAAAGAGGUAACAACAUAGUUUCAUUUGUCAAUGAAUCCUUGUAUACACAGUUUUCAAAAUCCACCUGGUGGAUUGAUUCCGGAGCAACUGUUCAUGUUGCAAAUUCUUUACAGGGAUUCCAUUCGACGCGAACUACGCUAAGAAGCGAAAGACGCAUUGAAGUGGCAAACGGAGUUGAAGCAGAAGUUGAAGCUGUCGGUGAUAUCUCCUUGGAGUUAGCUGGCGGAUUCAAUCUUCUACUUAGAGAUGUUUUAUUUGUUCCAUCAUGUCAUAGAAACUUAAUUAGUGUUUCUUGUUUGGACAAAGAUAAUUAUGAAUGUCAUUUUGGACAUGGCAAGUGUGCCAUUUGGUAUAAUAAUGCUUAUGUGGGU